rnacentral:rRNA from 1 species
GCUGGCGGCGUGCCUAACACAUGCAAGUCGAACGAGAAAGGGGAGCAAUCCCUGAGUAAGUGGCGACCGGGUGAGUAACACGUGACUAACCUACCUUCGAGUGGGGGAUAACUCCGGGAAACCGGGGCUAAUACCGCAUAACAUCUUUGGAUCGGAAGAACUGGAGAUCAAAGGAGCAAUUCGCUUGAAGAGGGAGUCGCGGCUGAUUAGCUUGUUGGCGGGGUAAUGGCCCACCAAGGCGAUGAUCGGUAUCCGGCCUGAGAGGGCGCACGGACACACUGGAACUGAAACACGGUCCAGACUCCUACGGGAGGCAGCAGUGGGGAAUUUUGCGCAAUGGGGGAAACCCUGACGCAGCAACGCCGCGUGGAGGAUGAAGUCCCUUGGGACGUAAACUCCUUUCGACCGGGACGAUAAUGACGGUACCGGUGGAAGAAGCCCCGGCUAACUUCGUGCCAGCAGCCGCGGUAAUACGAGGGGGGCAAGCGUUGUUCGGAAUUAUUGGGC